UACCUUUUGCUACGGAAUAACGCAGGGAAACUUGUGCUAAUACCGUAUGUGUCCUUCGGGAGAAAGAUUUAUCGGCAAGAGAUGAGCCCGCGUUGGAUUAGCUAGUUGGUGGGGUAAAGGCCUACCAAGGCGACGAUCCAUAGCUGGUCUGAGAGGAUGAUCAGCCACUUUGGGACUGAGACACGGCCCAACACUCCUACGGGAGGCAGCAGUGGGGAAUAUUGGACAAUGGGCGCAAGCCUGAUCCAGCCAUGCCGCGUGAGUGAUGAAGGCCCUAGGGUUGUAAAGCUCUUUCACCGGAGAAGAUAAUGACGGUAUCCGGAGAAGAAGCCCCGGCUAACUUCGUGCCAGCAGCCGCGGUAAUACGAAGGGGGCUAGCGUUGUUCGGAAUUACUGGGCGUAAAGCGCACGUAGGCGGAUCGAUCAGUCAGGGGUGAAAUCCCAGGGCUCAACCCUGGAACUGCCUUUGAUACUGUCGAUCUGGAGUAUGGAAGAGGUGAGUGGAAUUCCGAGUGUAGAGGUGAAAUUCGUAGAUAUUCGGAGGAACACCAGUGGCGAAGGCGGCUCACUGGUCCAUUACUGACGCUGAGGUGCGAAAGCGUGGGGAGCAAACAGGAUUAGAU
rnacentral:rRNA from 1 species